ensembl:snRNA U6 U6 spliceosomal RNA
AUGCUCCCUUGGGCAGCACUAAUUGUAAAAUUAGAAUGAUACAAAGAAGAUUAGUUUUGCCCCUGGAUAAGGAUGACAGUUAAUGUAAAAAUUUUACAAAAAAUAU